UACUAGAGUAGCACUCGCAUAUCAAUAAGCGGAGGAAAAGAAACUAACAAGGAUUCCCCUAGUAACGGCGAGUGAAGCGGGAAGAGCUCAAAUUUGGAAUCCUUAAAGGGUUUCCCUUUACGAAUUGUAGUUUAAAGAAGUGUUUUCUGUUGAGGUUUUGGUAAAAGUUCUUUGGAAUAGGACAUCAUAGAGGGUGAGAAUCCCGUAUUUGACCUUUACUUUCAACUUUGUGAUACACUUUCAAAGAGUCGGAUUGUUUGGGAAUGCAGUCCAAAAUGGGUGGUAAAUUUCAUCUAAAGCUAAAUAUUGGCGAGAGACCGAUAGCGAACAAGUACCGUGAGGGAAAGAUGAAAAGAACUUUGAAAAGAGAGUUAAACAGUACGUGAAAUUGUCAAAAGGGAAGCGUUUGACACCAGUGUUGUUUUUCUGAAAAUCAAUUAAAGAACUGUUUAUGUUAAGCUGUUUAGACUUUAUCAGCUAUCUGUUUAGUUUUGAGCUUUUCUUUAAUGCACUUUUCAGUUAACAAGUCAACAUCAAUUUCUUUUGCUGUAAAAAAGCUUGAGGAAGGUGGCUUGAGAUUCGUCUUAAGUGUUUAUAGCCUCUUGCCUAUGCAGUCGGAGAGAUUGAGGUCUGCAGCGUAGAUCCUUCGGGGCUAAAUGCAUUUGUGCUAAGUUAUAGCAUUUUAUAGACAACUUGUUGACUAUGAUUUGUCUUGUAGCUUACUCGCUUAUGUUAUUUUACCUACGCUUAGGAUGUUGAACUCUAUCACACACAG
rnacentral:rRNA from 1 species